rnacentral:rRNA from 1 species
UACGAAGGGUGCAAACGUUGCUCGGAAUUAUUGGGCGUAAAGAGUGUGUAGGCGGUGCUCUAAGUUCGGUGUGAAAUCUCCUGGCUCAACUGGGAGGGUGCGCCGGAAACUGGAGUGCUUGAGCGUGGGAGAGGAAAGCGGAAUUCCUGGUGUAGCGGUGAAAUGCGUAGAUAUUGCUCGGAAGGCCAACGGCGAAGGCAGGUUACUGGUACGCAACUGACGCUGAGGCACGAAAGCGUGGGGAGCAAACAGG